CCAAACUAACUCCUUCCCUAUCACUAGUUUGGCCUUUAUUAUAGAUAUCUAAAUCAUAUCCAUGCUGAUUCAAACCUUGCAGUGGUAGCUCCACCCACUCUAUGGGCAGCCCUUUCCUACCGCAAAAAACUAAAAUGCUGGCAUCCUUCUGACCGGAGCAAAUAUACUAAAUAUAAUUUAGUAUCUCAUAAUGAUAUAAGGGCAUAUCAUGGUUGUUAACACCAUAGUCCAUCAAACUCACAAACUCCAAUAACAUAGUCCUGCUAAAUAAAUCAUUGCUACCCAAGGUAACCAAACAAUUCCGUCAUAGUAAAUCACAAUCUCAUAACAUUUCUCAUAGGUCUCAAAUAUUAAAGCACAUAUGCUAAACCUUGCUAAAAUCAACCGCCUCUCUAUACAAACUAUUAAUCUCAUCAACAUUUACCAUUUGUCUUGGUAUCUCAUAACCUUAAUUCUCUUCCUAAACUUACUAGCAUGCAUGAGAUAUCGGAAUAGCAAUGAGCAACAAUAUAAUAGAAUUAUUUGAACAAUAAAGAUGAAUCGAAUAAUCAAUAUAUUAUCCAAAGCAAAUUAAAAAUUUUCAAAGGAUGAAGAAUUAAUUGAGAAGCAAAUUUGUGCCAUGUAUUGUAA
rnacentral:misc_RNA from 1 species